UGCUACAGGUUUCUCUUCAGAUCACACAAAUCUUUUGUCUUUUACUAAAGAUUUCCAUUGAGAGAAACAAAUCUGAGUUUCAGCUCAGUUUUCUGAUACCCUGUUAUGCCAGGGUU
rfam:Erinaceus europaeus unplaced genomic scaffold scaffold00526, whole genome shotgun sequence